GGCUCCGUAGUUCAACUGGAUAGAAUGUCAGAUUUCGGCUCUGAUGGUUGCAGGUUCGAACCCUGCCGGGGUCA
rnacentral:tRNA from 1 species